CCCUUAGAUGUUCUGGGCCGCACGCGCGCUACACUGAUGCAUUCAACGAGCCUAUCCUUGACCGACAGGUCCGGGUAAUCUUUGAAUCUGCAUCGUGACGGGGAUAGAUUAUUGCAAUUAUUAAUCUUCAACGAGGAAUGCCUAGUAGGCGCAAGUCAUCAGCUUGCGUCGAUUACGUCCCUGCCCCUUGUACACACCGCCCGUCGCUCCUACCGAUUGGGUGUGCUGGUGAAAUGUUCGGAUCGGCCGUUUGUCGCGGUUUCCGCGUCAUGUGGCUGAGAAGUUCAUUAAACCCUCCCACCUAGAGGAAGGAGAAGUCGUAACA
rnacentral:rRNA from 1 species